rnacentral:lncRNA from 10 species
AUCGCGAGAUCAGGAAGGUGGCCGAGUGUGUCGCCGCGGCCAUCAGGCACUUCUCCUUCCUGCCCUUGUAUGAAGAAGGAUGUGUUUGCUUCCCCUUGUGCCAUGAUUGUAAAUUUCCUGAGGCCUCCUCAGCCCUGCAGAACUGGGGUUAUAGCCAUGUGACUGAUCUUCGUCCAAGAAUAUGUAAAGAAAAAGUGUUGAGUUGGCUUUUAGGGCUAGAGCAAUGUAUCUUAGGCUCACUUAAGGAAGCUGUAGAGAUGAGCCCAAGGAGGGAAACCAGAAGAGCCCCCCAGGCUCACCAGUUGUUUGUUGGCUCCCUACAAACAUGUCAUUCAAGUGGCUAAUCUUACAACAGCACAAAUUCAUCUAACCAGAAAGAGAAGAGGAGGCUCCAAAGGCACUUGACUACUGAGCAUCACCCUGGACGUGUACAAGUCUGCGUCCUUAUUGUUUUCUUCAUUGGGCCGAACUUUCUGGUCCUCAUCCAACAGCUCUUCUAUCACGUGUUCGAAAGUGUCAGCCAAUGAUGUCAAGCCUCUUGAACCUGCCUUGGGCCCAUUCACGCUCUCCAGAGUCCCAUGGGUCCGCACACCUGGAGAUACUCUAUUAUAGCAAAGAAGAAAGAUAAUUUCAUUGAGCCAUCCUGUUUUACAGGAAAUUCUGCAAGUGGCAACGUGGGUCCAUUCCGUGUGUGUCACUAGAGCUGGCGCAAGCCCAUGGCCAUGGUGAGGCAGCGUUUCCACUGGAACUAAUCUGAUACCUGCACCAGCUCUUGCAACUGUGCAGUGUUCCCACUGCAAACUACGGAUGGGGUAAAAGACUGCUCACCUCCUAUUUCUCAUCUAAUCUCACACACUCUGUUUGAUGAGGCUAUGGAGAAACAGGUCUUCUCAUACACUAAAGGUGGGAGUACAAACAAUUCAAGCCCUGUGCAGGACAAUUAGGCAAUACCUAUCAAAAUUAUACAUGAUUUUUCCUGCUGACCCAGCAAUUCCACUUCUGGGAAUAAUUGACAGAUAUAGGUGCAUAUGUACAAAAUGAUGGAAAGCUCUCUGGUAUAUAUUAGUAAGUGAUAAAACAAGGUGUAAAAUAGUGUAUAUAUGGCUACUACCUUUUGUUUUAAAAAUGGGGGAAAAUGGUGGAGCUUGCGGUGAGCCGAGAUCGUGCCACUGCACUCCAGCCUGGGCGACAGAGCGAGACUCCGUCUCAAAAAAAAAACAGGGUGGGGUGGGGGGGAAAUAAUAGUACAUACUCAUAUUUACCUGUAUCUAUAUAAAACACACUAUCAAGGAUUCACAAGAAACUAAUACAAAUGAUCACCUUAUAGAUGGUAUGUAUUGGGGGAUACUGAGGUGAGCAGGGUAUAAGUGGGGCAAGACUUUUCAGUGUAAACUUCUUUUAAAUUUUAUUUUGAUUUUUGAAUAAUGUAAAUUAACUGUCAAAUAAUUAAAUUAAAAAUAACCAAUUUAUUAACAAAACA